GCGGCCGCACUGGAGCGCAGCUUUCCCGCUAGACUAUGAGUUCCGGGAAAACUGCGGACUCAAUGACCACGGCGAUUUCGUAACGCCCCCGUUCCGAGAGUGUUCUUCUGGGCAGUGCAACCCCGACGGCGCGGAGCUAUGUAGCCCCUGCGGCGGCGGAGCCGUGACCCCUACUCCCGCCGCGGGCGGGGGCAGAUCCCCGUGGCGCUGCAGAGAGAGGCCGGUCCCUGCCAAGGGGCACUGCCCCCUCACACCUGGAAACCCAGGCGCCCCUAGCUCCCAGGAGCGCAGCUCACCAGCAAGUUCCAUUGCCUGGAGGACCCCUGAGCCUGUCCCUCAGCAGGCCUGGCCGAAUUUCCUUCCGCUCGUGGUGCUGGUCCUGCUCCUGACCUUGGCGGUGAUAGCGAUCCUCCUGUUUAUUCUGCUCUGGCAUCUCUGCCGGCCCAAGGAGAAAGCCGACCCCUAUCCCUAUCCUGGCUUGG
rnacentral:sRNA from 1 species